AUGGAAGUGCUAAACACUAUUAUUACUUGAUAUUAGCAACAGGGCGGGGGUGAGACCUGGCGAACCCUUCCCCCACCUGGCCCAGACACGAGCGAGGGCUGCCCCUUGCCUCCUGAGGGCUGGGCAGGCGAGGUGGGGCGUUUGCUCGGCCUGGCUGGGGCAGGCUGCAAGCUCGCUGCCCGCCCGCGCCAGGAGAAACCUGUGCGGCGCUGAUUCACCCUCAAGUGAUUGCUUGACCCAGAGGAGGGCCUGAUGAUACACGGCGGCCGGGACGCACCAGCCGUGAUUACAAGGUGAUUCACUGCCAUUCAAAACAUCCUCCGCGCUGCGCAGGCUGCAAUAAGGAAGUGAUAUUUGCACCUUCAGCUGCCACGGUCCCACCAAGCCUUUCGGCCGCUGCCUGCAGCCUGGCGCUUUCAUCCCUCGGGCUGUGUUGACACCACGGAGGUUUGCUGGCAGGGGCGGCUCCCUGAAGCUGCCACGUGGCUGCAGCCCCGUGCCUCUUGCUGGUACUGUCCGUCCUCGCCCCAAGGUUUGGCCAGAAGUGGCCAAACACUUUCCAUCGUCCUGUUCCUCCCACGCCUUUGCCCUUCACUCUGCCUCUGCUCCAGAUAUGCUCCUGCCUCUCUCGUUUGGUUUCACCAGAGCGGUCCGAGUGCACUGACUGCAUUCAUUUCAUCCUGCAAAGUGCUUCCCAUGCGGCACACAGGGAGCAGGGAAGCCCUGGGUGCCUGGCAGGUGCCAUGCCUCCUGCCCCAGGAACUGGUACUGCUCGUGGCAGCGUGCUGCAGGCACUGCUAGCAUCUGGGAUGUGCAAAGCUUGCUCACGUUGGCUGGGGCUUGUAAACGUGUCAGGGCCAAUAGCGAACAGUUUGUAUUGCGUUUCCCCUCAAGCUAAGCUGAGCAACGUUAGGUAGCGAGUUGGGCAUUAUUCAGAGCUCCUAAACCUCGGGGUUUGCCAGUGACAGAGUUGCACACUUCCAGCAGGACGCUCCCGACAUUUUCUGUGCAGCAUCAUGGCCAGGCUGCAGCACAGGGGAGUUGUGCUCCAUCACGUUUCAUUGCUCAGCUGCCGUGCUCUGUUGCCAGCUCUGCUGUGUGGAUAACUAGGUGAGCUAUCUCUGGAAAACAAUCUAUUCAGUGAAUUCAGCCCUCGUUUCCUGCGGGGAACUGCCUUCAAACUGCCUCUCAGAUGUAUUUUACGUGCAGUGUUAUUAUUUGUGCUUUGUCUAAACAUGUGCUAGCUGUGGAUUCUCUGUGUGCUCUUGGAUGGAGCUGCGGUUUUAAAUACCCACCGCUGGUUAUUCAUAGUGCACAUUUAGUCAUUUAACAAACAUGGUAUUAGUUCUGCUCUCUAAGCUGAUGACUAAUACUCUUAUAAAUAGGAGGAAUGUGAUCUGAAAGGUCACGUGAACGUUCCCAGCGUGAACAUAUCCCUAAACUAUGAGGCUUCCCAUUCCAGGAGCGUGCUUGUAAAAAAAAGAAAAAGCUCAUUAUUAGGAAGGAGAAAAAGGGUUAAAAACCCACUCAAGCAAUUUCUGUGCUUUACCUCAAACAUAUUUUUGCAAUGUUUGCUUUUGCCUGCAAUCUCUGCUGAUGUGCUUGGGAGGACGGGAAUUGCCCCAGUGGAACAGGCCUGAGCUCUCUCCCAUGCCAGCGCCCUCCCCUGGAGCAUAACAGGACCUCGGUAUUUUAUGAGUAAGAAACAUCCUCUGAAUUUCCUGAUGGAAAGCAGGACAACUCCUAACACUGGAUCCCAAAGCAAAUGGGAAGAGUGCAUGAUGCAGGUUUCUGCACGGCUUUCCUCAGCUCGGUACCGUGGAGCGAAGCCACGCUGCCUGGACUGCUGCAUGAAAGCAAACUAAGCGAACGCUGCUGCUCUCCUGCCAUUGAGAGGUGUGCUUUGUGUUCACAGAAGAGAGGAAGGGUGGCCCUGUGAGCAGCCUGAAGGGCUGGCCAGGCCGUCAGGAAGCACAGCACCGCCUGCCCUCUGUCUACAUCUCAGGUAUGCCCAGGAGCCACCGAGGACAAAGCUCAGCUGGUGGGCUCUGUGCUGGUGGGGCAAAGCAGGGGCAGGCUCAGCGCCCAGCCGGGAGGUGGCACUGACUCUGCCAGCACUUCUCCACUCCCCUUCUACAGCGUCAAGCGUGCCGGUCUGAGCCACCUGUAGCUGAAGUCGGCUCGUUGGACUUUGCACUGGAGCAAAGUGGAGGAGAGGGUUUGUGCAGCUGGCUCGGGGAUGGGUCCCAGUUUCAUCACAACAGAGGCAGAUGCUGCCAGUCCGUCUGUUACAAGUUACCUUCUGUGGGACAUGGGAAAGAGAGGACUCUUCCAGCUUCGUUUCCAGCUGUUGUCCCUGUGCCCUCUCUAACAAGAGUGCUUCCUUACGCACAGAGGAGUGAGAGGCUGCCAGCAGAGGACACGCUGGGAAAGGGGAGUGUGGCAAAAGUCAUUGCAGUGAUCUGUAGAAGUUUGACUCGGUGAAGUAUCAGGCCAAUGGCACACACAUGCCAUAAAGACAGUAUUCCCAGUCUCACAGAGCUAUCAUAAUUUUGUCUGUGCUUAUUAUAGUUACAGGAAUGCAUUAACAUUAAAAUAUGUGGGCUAAAAGCUUGUGUCCUAUAUUUUCCUCCUGCCAACCUUGGUCUUGACUUUAGGUGGCGGAUUAGAAAGGACAGCUGAGGCUCCGGGUCCCCCAGGCAGUCUAUUUGCAGUCGAGAAGUCCCCGAGAUUUGCUAGACUAUCCGUGAUGUUUCUCUCUGAGCACACACCGUGUUUCCUAACUUCAGCCAUCUCAGAGGUUUGAUUUCAGUGGAAGAUGGUAUAUAUAAGUGAUACUUGAUUGAGAAGUGCAUAUGCAGAGCUUACGAAAUAGCGUGUCUGCCUACAUGUGCAUGCGUUAAAAUAACAGGGCAAAGGCCACUGCAAUGUAUUAUUUACCUACUGGUUCAGAUUUAUCUGCCUGCCGUAGGGACUGCUGCCGUCUCUGGUCUGUCUCUGUCAAAUUUUGUUCCUAGAGAAAAUAGCAGUGUGAAGAAUCGUGUUUGAGGGUGGCUCUCUUAUGGCUGACAUCAGGGGACUGAGCGGUACAUUCAAGCUGAAAUCUGAGGUGUCACCCAGGUUACUUUGGGUGCACUGACUUGUAUUUGUUUGUGGGUACACCUGGAUUUCUCCUCUCCCUUGGUCAGCAGCAGAAGCAUUUUUCUUGCCUAAUGGCAAGUAGGUGGUAGGGGUGGGGUCAGGUCGUGCUUGUGGCUGCUGGCCUGCUGACAGUGGACAGAGAUAUAAAUGCAGAAGAAGAUGGGAAGAAAGGAACAGACGAUGUAAUUACACCUGGUCAGGGUCAGCAUGACACCACACGCACUAUAUCCAUAUGUAUUGGAAACCUACACACACAUAAAAGAAAACAUUCAAGACAUGCAAUCAGGUUCUUCCACAGGGCAGCCACAAUUACAUAAAGAAAUGAAUAAGGGUUUUUUUUUUACACUGUGAUGCUAGCAGUCACAGCCUCCUCUCUGACUGCACCGGGGAGAAGAGCGUGUUACGUGUGAGCAGAAUAAAUGAUCUGUGGCUGGUAAGCAGCAUGGUGCAGCACCUCGCUGCAGCACCUUCCUGUGCCAGCCAGGUGUCAGGGCCAGGCAUCACGACCAGCCAAAGCAAACCUAGGUGCAGAUCUCGAGCAACGUCCUCGGAGCUGGCAGUUGGAAAAUGGGUGCAAAUGUUCCAGGCAGAUGCUUUGCCAGUGCCGUCUGAGUCUUGCUCCCUACACGUGGACAAGCACAGAUCAGGUUAUACAUGUUGCAGGACAGUUGUGUUUGUAAACAGCAGGAAUAUUUUGCAAACAGGGGAGAGCAGCACCCACCCUGCUUCCUGGCUGCCAUCUCUCCUGGGGUUUGAGAAAAACCGAAAGCAAGCCCCAGAAGCUUUCUCCCUUUCCAUGGUGACACAACAGAGCAAAACAGGAUUUCCUUCACAGCAGCAAUAGGACAGGCUUUGCCGCAUUCUUGCACGGAGACCCGGCAUGGAGCAUCCGAGGGGCUUCUUCCAGAGGACCAGCCCCUGAGCAGUGGCCAAUCUCAAAGGAGGACCUCUCGCCACCCACCGCUGACCCCUGGUAAGCCCAUCUCAUGGACAGAGCCCACCAAAUAUUCACAGUGCAGCAGGGGAGCAGGACCAGGCCCCUGUCCAUGGAAGGAGGAGGCGCAGGGGGAGACAGUGCUGGUGCAUGGCUCUGCUCCGAGCCCUCGUCACUGUCACCAUGAGCAGCCCAGUGGACACAGCCCCCUCACCCAACAGUCUCUGCACCCAGUAGGGGCUGGGUUUGGGCAUCAGAGGGUGACGGGGCUGGCAGCACUUGCUGCCCCUCCACGUUUUUCUGCAGGGAGAAGUGUUUUCCUUUCUCUCUGCGCUUCAUGUGGAGCUGUGUAAACAGCACUCGCCCCGAAUGUUGAUACCUCCGAACAAUUGUAUCAGCCUCUUGGGAUUUAUUCACCCAAACUACAAUAUUUAGUUAUUUAGUCUUUCCUUUAGUGAUUCAGUUGUUGUUCUGUUCUGAACACUGCCCAGUUUGCCAAUGUCUCUUCGGCAUGUGAGUGCCUGCUCUUUUAUACGAUGCUCUUCACAUCUCUGCAAGUCAAAAUUAGGCCGUCUUAUUUUACAAACUAGCACCUAAUUUGCUGCUUACUCUUAUCCCUGCGCUAGGCCCUUUUCAGCAGCUGCUGCAGACUAUUUGUCCAAAUGUGUUUCCUUGCAUUGCCCAUGUUCCAGGAAGGAGCUUUUAGAUGCUGUUUUCCUUCCCAAUCCCCUAUCUCACAGAGAUUGUUUAUGAGACUGAAAUCAUAACAAGAAACCAAAGCUCAGGCACUCUUCCCUUCCCUGUUACUAAAUCCAAAAUGAUCCUUUUGGAAAAAAAGAAGUACUUUGCAGGUUGUUAUUUCUGCAGCCUGGAAAAGGAUUUCUUCCAAUUUACAGCCCCGCUGGGUACUCGUGGUGCCGUGCACUUGACAGCCUGAUGGGUGCUGUGGCAGUGAGCAAGGGAUGGGGCUUGGAAAUGGAGAGCAAGGCUCUGCCCAGCCCUCUGCUGUUCUGGGCACUGAUGUGCUCUGCCCCAACUCAGGCAGGGGUUUUAAGAGCUGAGUGUUUGGAUGGGUGAAAGCUUUGGAGUGAUAUAUGCACCUUGUGUGUGCAGGUGAUGCUUCCUCUUUAUAUUCUAAGUGCAUUAGGACAUGAAAGAAGCCAAUUUCAAGGUAGUCUGCAAGUGACACACAAGCCCAGCCUGCAAAACACACGCGACUUGAAGAGCAUUCACUAAGAUGUCCAUGCAGAUUUUAUUUCCCUUAAGAAACCUUUUGAGCUAUUUCUUUCCUGCAGGCAACAGAGGUGAAAAUCGGCUGGGUUUUGGACCUAACCUCCCAGCCAGAAGAAGUCAGGGGCAAAGAGGGUUCUGCAGGCAGUUCCCACUACCAGUGCUGUAAGCAGGGAGCUGGAAGCUGCUCCAAAGCUGACGGAGCCAACCCGGUUUGCCUGUGGCUGCCAUGUUAAUUUUUCUCCUUUUGAGGUCUGAAUCCUUUAAAUCUUUGUUUUAUAGGGGUGAAUAAAAACUGUCUACAGCCUAUGGAGAGACCUGGAAGCCAUUUGGUGCAGAAAGAUCACAGAAAUCUGAGAAUGAAUGCAAGCUUUUAAACCGAAAAUAAUGUAUACAUUUAAAGAGCAGAACAUGCACAUACAUUCACAAUGGCUGCUAUCAAGACCUCUGGCAGUUUCUCUGAGUAUUAAAGUCCUGGUUCUGGAGAUUUCUGCUGCCCCUCAGGCUUCUGUCCCUUUCUGUGUUGUUACUUGCAGUGUUUAAGCCCCAUUAAGUUUAAGUGCAUACAUUUUCUUUGGCUAUUCAGCCCUAGCCACUUUGGGAAGAAAUUGGCCAGAAUCCCUGAACCUAAAAUAAUCAAAUGUCUGUUUUUCCAUUGAAAAGGAUCCCAUUUAUCUGGCAAGCAGUGCAAAAUGGAAUAGGUAACUCAGUGCAAGCAUUCUCCGAGAAACCUGUUGUUGCAAAACCAGGCAAGUGGCUUGCACAUAAGCAGAUAAGGUACCUUUACCAAUGCCCAGGUUGUUGCACUGCAUGUCAGUAUAUUUGGUUUCAUAAUAUGUGUGACUUUUAUUAUCAGCUUCUUGGUUUCUACCACUCUCUUUAGAAAUACAGCAGCCAUGAGCUGUAGGCCAAGGAGCACAGCCUUUCAGACACUCCUUUUGCAAGCAUCUGUCGUACUCCCAGAGAGGAUGUCUUUGUUUCAGGAUUGUUCCGGGCAUGAGAAUUAAAAAUCAAAACGGAGAUGGUGGCCAGCACGAAGAACCAGCCAAAGUUAUUUUAAUGAAUUUCUUUCCAUACCUGCCAAUCCACCCUCCCCUGCAGGAAAAACAACUCUCGAACGAAUAAAGCAUAUGGCAUGGAAGAUAGAGGGCCGAUGCCAAGUUUGUCUUUGCCUUAGCAGAACUGGCUGUAAGAUGCUGAAUCUGCAGAUCUUCCCCUGGAACAUGCUCUUGGAGAGAAAAGGGGAGGCACUUUCCCACUGCCGCUGUAGCCUGGCUCCUGCAGUCUCGCUGUUCAAGUCCUCACAGUGCAGGGCAGCACGGGGCAGGCGCAGCACUGCCUUCCAGUUGGUGGACAUCAGCGGGCAGCAGCAGCAAAGAAAGCGCAUCAGUGAAGCGGGUUAAGUGUUUGAGAAGGACCUGAAAACCUGAAAACCACCUGUGUGCAGGUCACUGACUGCCCCGAUGGCUGCUGUGCUGCCAGACAGGUGUGCCUGCUGCUGCGGGGUUUGACACCCUGCUCCUGGACGUGGUUCCUUAUCCCGUUGGGUCCAUGUCACUGGGAAUACUGGAGGACCACUGUACUGCAGCUGCCAAGAAGUGAGGUGUUCAGUGUAAGUCCCUCCAUCAGCACUUGUCCUCCAGUCAGCCGCCUCCACAGGUCGCUUCCCGAUCCUAAAGUAGGUGUGGCGGGCUGUGAGAGCUGCCCUUCUCCCACCAUGACAAAGCCCUGGAUGCUGGCUCAGCCUGUGGCCAGCCCUCACAGGUCAGUCCAUCCGUGCCACUCAGCCCCGCCAGGUGAGGCUCCUGGGGACACACCGGUGGCAGGUCCUGAGGUGGUGCAGCUACGUGGGACCUUGCCACCACCUGCUCAGCUCUGCUCUGAAGGAUGUAAGAUGCCGGAGGGACCUUAGUUUUGGUGCCCCACAGAGGAAUGCCUCGCCAGGGCUAGGCGACAGCUGAAGAGGAGGUUUGAGUGUCUAAAUUUAGAAGUUAGGCAGCCAAGGCCUUUAUUGGGCCUAUCUCUGCUGGGACUGAAGCUGAGCAGAUUUAUAUAGAAGGAACAAAUUCCUGGCUACGUUACUUUAAUCUUCCAGACAGCUAUGGAAACGUUUGUGUUGUGUACUCUACGAGACGUGUUUCUCCUACAGAUGUCAGAGAGGAGGCCACCACGCUGCUUGGACACUUGCCACGGGGGGACACCAUGGGUUAGGAGAGGGGUUCUGCCCACACAGGACCUUCUGCAGCACUUUGGCCUGGCGAUGAAGUCCCCGUGUGUCAGGAAAGCCUCUUGCUGUGGGUAAGCGAGGUCUCUGUUUCCAGAAGAAAGAAGAUACCCGGCAGGGUGACGAAAUUAAUGGCCUGGGGAGUCCCUUUGUUUAAACGAACACUGGGAGAGACGGGGGGAGGCAGCUUGGCGUUUCACAUGGUUAAUGUUCCCAGUCCUCUUCUUCAUCCUCUCGUGGCAACCUGUGUACUUUGCAAUGCAAAGGCAAAUGAAUCUCUGCUCUGCAGAAAUGUAAAUGUUUUGAUAAAACCAUUCUUAACAAGUUUGAUUCGUUUAAUCAGCUUGAUUAACUGCAGAGCUUUAUGGACUUUAAUCAGGAAGGAUUUACUAUAAAUUACCAUUUCUUGCAGUUUUGUGAAGAACACGAUGGUGGACGGGAGCCUUCCCAGCAUGGAAGGCACUUCCUGACUCCAGCACCCAGCCCUGCCUCUGCAGCUCCACGUAUUUCAGGUCCCUGCAGACCUGUGGGGCAGGUGCUGGGCUAGGGGUAGAGUGGAAAUGCAGCUGCAAGCUCCUUGAGAGACCCUCUUUCUUGCAUCUGCAUCCUCUCGGUGAUUAAUCUCGUCUUCCAUUAAAGGUGCAGCAUGCCUCUUUCAGCCAGGCCCACAAGGAAGGAAGCACAGUUGUACCCAACAGCCCUCUCCUCACCAUGUUUCAUGAACAAUCUUGACCUGCAAUGGAUUUUCAAGGGCUGGCUACACAAAAUUCCCAGGCUUACCAGCAGAAAGAGUAAUAAAUAAAUAAAUAAACGGUUGAUCAGAAGAUCUCAGCUUGGGUACACGUCACAGUUGGUUUUUCGUCUCUCCUGUUCAUCAUGGCAGACUAACAGGCUUCAAAAUAGGUCCAGCUGGAAAGAAGAUAAUUUUGUUCUGCUCUGCCCAGCCUCAUUUUUCUGCGCUGAAUGUCCAGUCAUGUACCUGUAUGAAACCUCCGAGGCCCUGGAGGCUCCGCACAGCGAUGAUUUAUUCAUUUUUAAUAGGCAAACUUUUCUCCAUGUUACAUUUCUCUGUGCCUUUUAGUCACUUCCCCAGACGAAAGCAACCAGGAGGAGAUUUAAAACAACUGAACUCUCCCCUCACAUUUAGAUUCUGCCCAAAGCACCGGAGCAGCUGGAGCAUUUACAAAGUCUCCGCACCAGCAGGUUUGCUCCUCGCUCUGCGAGCGCUCUUCCCUUGUUGCUCUGCCAUGCAGCAGGGCCGCUCCGCAGCGGGUCUCAGGGGGGCUGUGAUCAAAACGCGCAGGCUGAGCAGUGUGGUUUUGCAGCUCUCUUCAGACCGCCUUGUGCUUUUUACUCCCACCCAACUGUAAAGUGGAAUUGCCUAUGAGGAAAUUGUGUAUUUCAUAAGAAAGGAAUGUUUUUCAUCCUUUCCCCGCAAUUCUGUGGCCAAGCCUCACUUAUAGUCUGUUAGACUUUGCACCCCCAUGACCUGAACGCUCAUUUCUAAAAGAUUCCUGUUGUCCAGUUUCCCUUGGAUCCUGUCAGCUAGCUGGCGGGAAGCACCUUGGCUUCUUGGAGAGCACGUCAGGUAGCUCUGCAGGCCCUCCGGUGUAGAAGCAGAGGAUGCACAGAUGCCAUUUUGUUCAGUGUCCUGUCACCACAGACAGGAUCCUGGUCCUGGGGCAGACCAGUCAGGGCAGGGUGAGCUUGGAAAAGGUGUGUUAGAUCCCUCACUCGUGCUAUGGACUCUGUGGCCAUGCAGGAAAACAAGCAGGACACAUGCCUGGCUGCACGGGCACUCGCACCUCUGUGGCCCAGUCCUUCUGCAUGCACCGCUUCACAGGCCGGCGUGGUGCAUGAGGAGAAAGCCUGCUCCUCUUUCACCUUUGACAUCUCCACACGGAAUGAAAAACUCUUGGCCAUUCGCCAGAAGUUAGGAUUUGAUGACUUUUUUCUAUUUUUCCUUUCUUUUUUUUUUUUUUUUUCCCCACACAGACUAAACAUUCGCAUGUCAUAUCCUGUCCGAGCAGUUGUUUCAAUAGCUGCCCUGCCAACGGAGACACUUGGGUUUAAGUGGCUGAUCCUCUGCAGCCAUGACUGCUUUUAAUGAAAGAUUAUGUCUCCGUAAGGCCAAAAUGUUUGUUAUCCACCUUUGGCUUCUGAAAGAAAUCUUGCAAGUGUUUCUGGAUCAGAUGUGUAUGAAAUGCUGUGCAAUUUAUCUAAUAGCAAGGUGGAAAAUCUGUCCUUUCCCUAUUAAUAGACUAAAAAUCAAAACAGAGGUAGGGGGUUAAGGCCAAAUGGUUUCAUACACUAUGAAUUCAUCAGAGCUUCACAUUCCCAGCAAGAGAAAUAUUUGAAAGCAGAAGAAAUGCAUAGGAAUAAACAAAAAAUGAAACCAAAUAAAUAUAUUUAAAAACGA